rnacentral:rRNA from 1 species
UACGGAGGGAGCUAGCGUUGUUCGGAAUUACUGGGCGUAAAGCGCACGUAGGCGGCUUUGUAAGUUAGAGGUGAAAGCCCGGAGCUCAACUCCGGAACUGCCUUUAAAACUGCAUCGCUUGAAUCCAGGAGAGGUGAGUGGAAUUCCGAGUGUAGAGGUGAAAUUCGUAGAUAUUCGGAAGAACACCAGUGGCGAAGGCGGCUCACUGGACUGGUAUUGACGCUGAUGUGCGAAAGCGUGGGGAGCAAACAGG